rnacentral:rRNA from 1 species
GUUACUUCGGUACAUCGGUGACAGGUGGUGCAUGGUUGUCGUCAGCUCGUGUCGUGAGAUGUUGGGUUAAGUCCCGCAACGAGCGCAACCCCUAUUGUUAGUUGCCAUCAUUCAGUUGGGCACUCUAGCGAGACUGCCGGUAAUAAACCGGAGGAAGGUGGGGAUGACGUCAAAUCAUCAUGCCCCUUAUGACCUGGGCUACACACGUGCUACAAUGGCAGGUACAGAGGGCUGCGAAGCCGCGAGGUGGAGCGAAUCCCAGAAAACCUGUCUCAGUCCGGAUUGAAGUCUGCAACUCGACUUCAUGAAGGCGGAAUCGCUAGUAACCGCGAAUCAGCAGGUCGCGGUGAAUACGUUCCCGGGCCUU